GUACCAUAUUUCUCAGGCCAAUCUCUGUCUUCCAGUCAGGUCCAGAGAAAACAACAUCACCUCCUCUUGAUUUGAGAGUUUCCAAGGUUUCUCAAACGAACAAGCUGGAAAUGAACUGUAUGGGAGAUUCCAAAGGCACUUGAAUCAAUGGUUGAGGAAGCAGAAGGAACAGAAGCUGCUUAAGAGAGAUCUGCUGCCCAGCAAGACUGAUGGGUACUCCUCAUGUUGUAGAUUCAGAGGAAGCUCUCCUUGUUGAGGCUGAAGAAGGUGGUGCUUUGGAAAGUGACCAUACAGCUUAGGAAUGUGUGUGGCACUGAGAGGCUCAUCAAGGCAUGAAGUUGCCUCGGGCAACCUCAUAAUUUGGCACUCCUUCAAGUCAGUGUUUCUAAAACAGGGUGAAACGUGUAUUUAGUGAUUCUAAACCAUGCAGAAUGAAAGAGCUCUAUGGUACCACUUUUAAUUCCUCCUUCUCAGACCCACUGUUAUGCAUGUAUUCAAACAAAGGCACAUGCCUUGAGAUGAACUGGACAAUGUCCUUCAUGAAAUUUUUACCCCUAUUUUUCGGUUAAAUAUUCUGUGAAAUGGC